rnacentral:rRNA from 1 species
CGCCCGUAGCAAUACGGGAGUGGCAGACGGGAGAGUAACACGUGGGAACGUGCCCUUUGGUUCGGAACAACCCAGGGAAACUUGGGCUAAUACCGGAUACGUCCGUAAGGAGAAAGAUUUAUCGCCAAAGGAUCGGCCCGCGUCUGAUUAGCUAGUUGGUGGGGUAAUGGCCCACCAAGGCGACGAUCAGUAGCUGGUCUGAGAGGAUGAUCAGCCUCAUUGGGACUGAGACACGGCCCAAACUCCUACGGGAGGCAGCAGUGGGGAAUCUUGGACAAUGGGCGCAAGCCUGAUCCAGCCAUGCCGCGUGGGUGAUGAAGGCCCUAGGGUUGUAAAGCCCUUUCGGCGGGGAAGAUAAUGACGGUACCCGCAGAAGAAGCCCCGGCUAACUUCGUGCCAGCAGCCGCGGUAAUACAAAGGGGGCUAGCGUUGCUCGGAAUCACUGGGCGUAAAGCGCACGUAGGCGGACUCUUAAGUCAGGGGUGAAAUCCUGGAGCUCAACUCCAGAACUGCCUUUGAUACUGAGAGCCUUGAGUCCGGAAGAGGUAAGUGGAACUGCGAGUGUAGAGGUGAAAUUCGUAGAUAUUCGCAAGAACACCAGUGGCGAAGGCGGCUUACUGGUCCGGUACUGACGCUGAGGUGCGAAA